rnacentral:lncRNA from 1 species
GAAUUUUAGUUAUCUUGAUUUGAAAUAGUUAAUGAAAAAGUAAGCUACACUAGCCGAGUAAAAAUAUCACACUAAUAACAGAUACGAAAAACUGAAUAUUAAUAAAAAAAUUAGAAAAAUAACUAAUUGAGCUCUUGCUUUAUUUAAAUACAUUUAAACUUGAAGACGUUUGUUUAAUACUUACCAUAACGAGUUUUUCAAAGACAACUUAUGAAGACUCAUAUUC